rnacentral:rRNA from 1 species
AAUAUUGGACAAUGGGCGCAAGCCUGAUCCAGCAAUGCCGCGUGUGUGAAGAAGGCCCUCGGGUUGUAAAGCACUUUUAUCAGGAACGAAAUACCGCGGGUUAAUAACCUACGGGGCUGACGGUACCUGAGGAAUAAGCACCGGCUAACUUCGUGCCAGCAGCCGCGGUAAUACGAAGGGUGCAAGCGUUAAUCGGAAUUACUGGGCGUAAAGGGUGCGUAGGCGGUUGUUUAAGUCUGUCGUGAAAUCCCCGGGCUCAACCUGGGAAUGGCGAUGGAUACUGGACAGCUAGAGUGUGUCAGAGGAUGGUGGAAUUUCCGGUGUAGCGGUGAAAUGCGUAGAGAUCGGAAGGAACAUCAGUGGCGAAGGCGGCCAUCUGGGACAACACUGACGCUGAAGCACGAAAGCGUGGGGAGCAAACAGGAUUAGAUACCCUGGUAGUCCACGCCCUAAACGAUGCGAACUGGAUGUUGGUCUCAACUCGGAGAUCAGUGUCGAAGCUAACGCGUUAAGUCGCCGCCUG